UGGGGAAUUUUGGACAAUGGGCGCAAGCCUGAUCCAGCCAUGUCGCGUGCAGGAUGAAGGCCUUCGGGUUGUAAACUGCUUUUGUACGGAACGAAAAGGUGCCUUCUAAUAAAGGGCGCUCAUGACGGUACCGUAAGAAUAAGCACCGGCUAACUACGUGCCAGCAGCCGCGGUAAUACGUAGGGUGCGAGCGUUAAUCGGAAUUACUGGGCGUAAAGCGUGCGCAGGCGGUUUUGUAAGACAGAGGUGAAAUCCCCGGGCUCAACGUGGGAACUGCCUUUGUGACUGCAAGGCUGGAGUGCGGCAGAGGGGGAUGGAAUUCCGCGUGUAGCAGUGAAAUGCGUAGAUAUGCGGAGGAACACCGAUGGCGAAGGCAAUCCCCUGGGCCUGCACUGACGCUCAUGCACGAAAGCGUGGGGAGCAAACA
rnacentral:rRNA from 1 species